AACGAACGCUGGCGGCAGGCUUAACACAUGCAAGUCGAGCGCAUCCUUCGGGGUGAGCGGCAGACGGGUGAGUAACGCGUGGGAACGUACCCUUUCCUACGGAAUAGCUCCGGGAAACUGGAAUUAAUACCGUAUACGCCCUUAGGGGAAAGAUUUAUCGGGGAAGGAUCGGCCCGCGUUGGAUUAGCUAGUUGGUGGGGUAAAGGCCUACCAAGGCGACGAUCCAUGGCUGGUCUGAGAGGAUGAUCAGCCACAUUGGGACUGAGACACGGCCCAAACUCCUACGGGAGGCAGCAGUGGGGAAUAUUGGACAAUGGGCGCAAGCCUGAUCCAGCCAUGCCGCGUGAGUGAUAAAGGCCUUAGGGUUGUAAAGCUCUUUCAGUAGGGAAGAUAAUGACGGUACCUACAGAAGAAGCCCCGGCUAACUUCGUGCCAGCCGCCGCCGUAA
rnacentral:rRNA from 1 species